AACCUCCGCAAUGUGAGAAAUCGCGACGGGGGGAUCCCAAGUGCCAUUCUUAACGGGAUGGCUUUUCAUUAGUGUAAAGAGCUUUUGGAAUAAGAGCUGGGCAAGACCGGUGCCAGCCGCCGCGGUAACACCGGCAGCUCUAGUGGUAACAAUUUUUAUUGGGCCUAAAGCGUCCGUAGCCGGUUUAAUAAGUCUCUGGUGAAAUCCUGUAGCUUAACUGUGGGAAUUGCUGGAGAUACUAUUAGACUUGAGACCGGGAGAGGUUAGAGGUACUCCCAGGGUAGAGGUGAAAUUCUGUAAUCCUGGGAGGACCGCCUGUUGCGAAGGCGUCUAACUGGAACGGUUCUGACGGUGAGGGACGAAAGUUAGGGCGCGAACCGGAUUAGAUACCCGGGUAGUCCUAACUGUAAACGAUGCGGACUUGGUGUUGGGUGGCUUUGAGCUGCUCCAGUGCGAAGGGAAGCUGUUAAGUCCGCCGCCUGGGAAGUACGGUCGCAAGACUGAAACUUAAAGGAAUU
rnacentral:rRNA from 1 species